rnacentral:lncRNA from 1 species
AAUUCCUUUGGGAAGCCAUGGCUGCUUAGAGUAGUAUCAUUGUGGCCUUAACGUAUGGUGUGAAUGUGGCCAAAAUGUGCACAGCUUGCGACUCACCAAGCUAAACCCAGCUGACUACCUUCCCAGAUGCUCGACAACAUCCCUAUUUUUGCUGCCUUAAGAGAGGUACAAAAUAGGAUGUCCUGGCAGACCACUGCACCUGGUUUGUCACAAAUUGUUAUAAGCAGGAGUGUCUCUACAGUCUACACGCACCAUUUGAGAACUUUUGUGGUCCCUCAAAAAGUUUAUUGGGUGGGUCAAAGGGACCUCAGCCCGUAGAAGUUGAGUCCUAUGGUUAUACACCUGUACUAGACAUUGGGCUACAAAUUGGUAAGCCAAUAAACACACCACAACACGUUUUUGUUUUCUUGCUGCUAAUAAGUAUUCCAGCUACUCUGUUGACCUUUGGCAAGGCUUCCAUUUCAUUUUUUGAAAGGUGCUGCAGAAUUUAGAAGAGCUAACUUACCUGAGCAGAAGUGCCUUUCUUUUCGGCAAGGCAUCUUUGGAUCCAACGCCAUACAGCUGGUGAAAAAAGGUGAAAGAGGCUUUCUUAAUGAUAAGCAGUAGAUCAGGACUUUUGGUUGCCAGAAUACCAUUUGUUGGUCCUUUCUUUAUUAACCAACUAUCUUUGGAAUACAGAAAGCUGCCUUAUGCUGAGUCAGACCAUUGGUCCUCCUAUCUCAGUACAGCUAGUAGAGGUCCUGCAUGGUCCCAGGAUGUCAGGGAUAGAUAUGAAAACUUUCACAUGCAAAACAUGUUCUCUACCACUGAGCUACAGCUCUUCCCUCUGAAUUGUCUAUUGGAUUGACACUCUUCCUAUUGUGCAGAGAUUUCAUUUCAGAAUGUGUUAUUAAUGUUCAGCAUCACUAUUCUUUUCUCUUCCAUUCCAGAAGCUUGAUUCUUAAGCCUAAGCCUCUUUCAUCACAUCUUCUGUCUCGAAUGCUGUAAUUUUAUAGGAAGAGACAAGAAUCAGCAAAACUACUGACAUAACAGAAUGGACCAAAAGCAAUAUUGAGCAAGCUGAAAGAAAAUAUGAAGUUUACAAACAGAAAUAAGCACCAGAAAAUGAUCAAUUUUAUGCCUCCAAAUGAAUGUGACUCCCCCCCUCUUAAUUGAUUUACAAACCAUGACUCUGUUUUUGUCUCUCCUCUGUAUUAUAGCAUGUUAUCUCACAACCCAAAGACUAGAAGCACUAACAUUUGUUCCAUUCUGAAAGUCUUCAGACGUGCCCUAACAAUGACAGAGCAGAAGAGAAAGGUAGCAUAGCCCAUUCUCCCUGCUCAUAUGAUCCUAACUGCAUGAGGGGGAAUGCCUGAAUACAGUGGUGGACGAGGGUACUAUGGUGCCCUGUGCAAGGCCAAAGUUUGGAGACAAACCUCCCCCCCCCAUCCUCACACUGCCUUCCCAAAGACAGGUAAGAAGGUACCCAGCUUUGGAAAUGAGGUGUUAGGGCUUUGGUAGGGUCCUAGCACUCUCCCACCUCCUUCCCAAAGCUGGGAAAGUACAAACUAGGGUAAGGAAAGGAGGAUGGAAGACUAUAGGACCCUGUUAGCAGGGCCGUCUUACCCAUAGGUGCUAGGGGUGUAGUAGGGCACCCGGGCACCAGGCCGAGAUUCCACGGCCCGAGAGUUGAGUCCAGGGAAGAGCCUGCCCAUCGGUCGGAGCGCUGUGGUGGGCUCUUCUGCUGUGCAAGUUCGGGGGCGACUGAGCCAGCGAGACGCUGAGGCGACCAGUUGGCUCUGCUCUCCUGCACACCUGGAACUGGGCAACCUGGGGGGGGCCACCGAGCGGAUCUUUGCACCCCAGCACCACAUAUGCUUAAGACAGCCCUGCCUGUUAGAGCCUCAUGCCUCCUCCCCAAAGCCCAGCACCUUGCUUACCAGACUUUGAGACGCGCCCCCUUGGCUCAGCAUCCAAUGUAUGCGCACCAUUCCAACGGCUCUAAAUCCACCCUUGCAUGAAUGGGAUUAAUUUUUUACCCAAGUUUGGGGCUCGGAAUAACUUGAUCCUGCUUCUGGAGUAGCAUCACUGAGCUAGUAACCUGUCAUUCAUUGGAUCUUGAUCCUAAGGCUUUGCUGAGAUUACACAUGCACAGCUUGCCAUGGUUUCUAACAUCUUUCUUUUCCCUCGUCACUGGGCUUUGUCCAGCUGCAGGUAGUGGAGAUGCCAGAAGGUGAAUAAAGAGAUGCAAGUGGAGGGAGCCAUCAACUGCAAAGUUUGUGCCAACUGUAAAAUUUUAGAAAAUAUGCAAGUUGAACUGGAAGAUGAGUGAAGCAAAAUAUGAACAUCAAACCCAUGCAACUAUAACAGAAUGUAACUGGAAAAUCUGCAUGACUCUAUGUUCUAGUUGCUACUAUAAAGGUGGUUUUAUGCUCCUAUUUGAUUAUCUGAUGUUCCAAUGGAUUUCUUUGGUAUAGUCACAUGUGAUCAUCUGUACAUUCACUUAAUGCUCAACCACUCCUUAACUGCACUAGACUAGUAUUUGUCAGGAGACUAUGCUGUACAAAUAAAAAAUAAAAAUAAAACAAUAUUCCAA